GACGAACGCUGGCGGCGUGCUUAACACAUGCAAGUCGAACGGAAAGGCCCCCACUUUUUUGGUGGGGGUGCUCGAGUGGCGAACGGGUGAGUAACACGUGGGUGAUCUGCCCUGUACUUCGGGAUAAGCUUGGGAAACUGGGUCUAAUACCGGAUAGGACCAUGGUUUAGUGUCUCAUGGUGGAAAAAUUAUUGUUUUGGUGCAGGAUGAGCUCGCGGCCUAUCAGCUUGUUGGUGGGGUAAUGGCCUACCAAGGCGUCGACGGGUAGCCGGCCUGAGAGGGUGGACGGCUACAUUGGGACUGAGAUACGGCCCAGACUCCUACGGGAGGCAGCAGUGGGGAAUAUUGCACAAUGGGCGCAAGCCUGAUGCAGCGACGCCGCGUGGGGGAUGACGGCCUUCGGGUUGUAAACUCCUUUCGUUAGGGACGAAGCCGCACCUUUUUUGGGUGUGGUGACGGUACCUUUGUUAAGAAGCACCGGCUAACUACGUG
rnacentral:rRNA from 1 species